AGGGAUUGCCUUAGUAACGGCGAGUGAAGCGGCAAAAGCUCAAAUUUGAAAUCGGCCACCAGGUCGAGUUGUAAUUUGUAGAUUGUAUCUUGAGAGCGGAUUAAAGUCUGUUGGAACACAGCGCCUUAGAGGGUGACAGCCCCGUAAAAUCUAUUCUCAUUGUAAGAUACUUUCGAAGAGUCGAGUUGUUUGGGAAUGCAGCUCUAAGUGGGAGGUAAAUUCCUUCUAAAGCUAAAUAUUGACGAGAGACCGAUAGCGAACAAGUACUGUGAAGGAAAGAUGAAAAGCACUUUGAAAAGAGAGUGAAAAAGUACGUGAAAUUGUUAAAAGGGAAGGGUAUUGAAUCAGACUUGGUGCUGNUGUUCAACUGUGUU
rnacentral:rRNA from 1 species